rnacentral:rRNA from 1 species
CCUACGGGAGGCUGCAGUGGGGGAUAUUGCACAAUGGGGGGAACCCUGAUGCAGCGCCGCCGCGUGGGUGAAGAAGCGCCUCGGCGCGUAAAGCCCUGUCAGCAGGGAAGAAAAUGACGGUACCUGAAGAAGAAGCCCCGGAUAACUACGUGCCAGCAGCAGCGGUAAUACGUAGGGGGCAAGCGUUAUCCGGAUUUACUGGGUGGAAAGGGGGCGCAGACGGCGAUGCAAGCCAGGAGUGAAAGCCCGGGGCCCAACCCCGGGACUGCUCUUGGAACUGCGUGGCGGGAGUGCAGGAGGGGCAGGCGGAAUUCCUGGUGGAGCGGUGAAAUGCGUAGAUAUCAGGAGGAACACCGGUGGCGAAGGCGGCCUGCUGGACUGCAACUGACGUUGAGGCCCGAAAGCGUGGGGAGCAAACAGGAUUAGAUACCCGGGUAGUC